rnacentral:lncRNA from 1 species
GAGACGUCAAUGAAAGAGGAUGCGAAUUCCUCUCGCCUGUCACGCUGCUUGCUCAUCCUUCGUCCCGCUUUCUGGUCGCUUCGUGCCGACCUUGCAUGUUCCCUGUAGAAACUGAGGCCAAGGAUUUCUUCGAACCACGCACGCGGUACGAAGGAUUUAGUGUUCUGGCCAUUCAAGUCGCGGAAAGUAGCGGAAAAGGACAAUCCUGGUGACUGAAAGGAGCUCUCCCGCUUCACUUCAUUCUCUCGACCAUGUCCUCAGAGAAAUCGCGUCAGUUCUUUGCCGCAGGGUCUUUUGCGGGCGGAGUCUGCGUGGUUAGGGUUUGGAUUUAGAGUUUGUGCACGUUCCCACACCCCAAGCCUGUACAUUACUCGUUUUGCAUUCUAAAGCAAAC